rnacentral:rRNA from 1 species
AGGACGAACGCCGGCGGCGUGCUUAACACAUGCAAGUCAAGGGGGCCCAGCAAUGGGCAACCGGCGAACGGGUGCGUAACACGUGAGCAACCUACCGAACUGUGGGGGAUAGCCGGCCUAACGGCCGAGUAAUACCGCAUACGCUCUCAGGGAGGCAUUUCUUUGAGAGGAAACCUACGGGACAGAUCGAGGGGCUCGCGGCCUAUCAGCUAGUUGGCGAGGUAACGGCUCACCAAGGCAACGACGGGUAGC